rnacentral:misc_RNA from 1 species
GGCAGCUUACUAUCCAACGAACGUCACUACUGACCAUAUUCAACAGUAUUUGGAUGAGAACAAAUCACUCAUUCUGAAGAUUGUUGAGAGCCAGAACUCUGGGAAACUCAGUGAAUGUGCGGAGAACCAAGCUAGGCUUCAGAGGAAUCUGAUGUACCUUGCUGCGAUUGCUGAUUCACAACCUCAACCUUCUAGCAUGCAUUCUCAGUUCUCUUCUGGUGGGAU